rnacentral:rRNA from 1 species
UACAGAGGUCUCGAGCGUUAGGCGGGAUCACUGGGCUUAAAGCGUGUGUAGGCGGAUCGUUAAGUGCCUUGUGAAAGUCCAGGGCUCAACCCUGGGAUGCCGAUCGAUACUGUCGGACUAGAGUUCGGAAGAGGCGAGUGGAAUUCCCGGUGUAGCGGUGAAAUGCGCAGAUAUCAGGAGGAACACCGAUGGCGAAGGCGGGAUCCUGGGCCAGUACUGACGCUGAGACGCGAAAGCGUGGGGAGCAAACAGG